ACCUAUCAAAAAAUUGUUUUUUACUGACCUUCACAAUAAAUUGCUUCUACAAAACUCUAUUUAAGUGUUUAUAUCCAAAAUAAUACGUCACGACCCGCUCACAUGCUGCAGCAGAACAACGACAUCGAUGCUCAUUGUCACCUGUACUGGACCAGUUUCGGAUUUCUUUGGAGUUUUUGGGGGCUUUAUACAACGUGCAACACAUAAGACCAUCAGAUCUACUGAUCUGGAGCGGCUGAUCAACGCAUCAAGAACUUUUAUUAGAACUGAUACAGGAUCCAAGUACCUCUGUGGUGAAGAAGAGAGACGUGAUUCUGAGAUGCCUCAAUGAAUACAUGGGAGAGAGUGGGCAAGAGCUAAUCUCUGAC